CCUAGAUCAGUGGUUAGGAUAGUAUCUAAUGGUUCAGGUGAGGAUUGUAGGAGGGUAAUCUGGUCCUAGAUCAGUGGUUAGGUUAGUAUCUAAUGGUUCAGGUUAGGAUUGUAGGAGGGUAAUCUGGUCCUAGAUCAGUGGUUCGGUUAGUAUCUAAUGGUUCAGGUUAGGAUUGUAGGAGGGUAAUCUGGUCCUAGAUCAGUGGUUCGGUUAGUAUCUAAUGGUUCAGGUGAGGAUUGUAGGAGGGUAAUCUGGUCCUAGAUCAGUGGUUCGGUUAGUAUCUAAUGGUUCAGGUGAGGAUUGUAGGAGGGUAAUCUGGUCCUAGAUCAGUGGUUAGGUUAGUAUCUAAUGGUUCAGGUUAGGAUUGUAGGAGGGUAAUCUGGUCCUAGAUCAGUGGUUCGGUUAGUAUCUAAUGGUUCAGGUUAGGAUUGUAGGAGGGUAAUCUGGUCCUAGAUCAGUGGUUCGGUUAGUAUCUAAUGGUUCAGGUUAGGAUUGUAGGAGGGUAAUCUGGUCCUAGAUCAGUGGUUAGGUUAGUAUCUAAUGGUUCAGGUUAGGAUUGUAGGAGGGUAAUCUGGUCCUAGAUCAGUGGGUAGGUUAGUAUCUAAUGGUUCAGGUUAGGAUUGUAGGAGGGUAAUCUGGUCCUAGAUCAGUGGGUAGGAUAGUAUCUAAUGGUUCAGGUCAGGAUUCAAUCCCACCCGGAGCAACAUAUGGUGUGUCCUACAGUGGGCGUGUUUUGAGCCCUGGUA